UGUGUGUGUGUGUGCUCUCAGGGAAAGUCGAUGUGUGUCGGUGUCCUGUGACCCACAUCAGACUGAAAAUUGUGUCAUUAUUGACGACUGUCAAGUUUCGUGAGUAUGUGACCAUCCCUUGGUUGUCAGGACCAAUGGUUGUAAUUUUUGCAAACAUCCCACUUUGAAAACAUUGCCAUGGCAACACCUUUUUCUGAUAGCUCAUGAUAUUCAACACCAAUAAUAGACAGUGUUUUUUGUGAUGGCUCCUAUUCUGAGAUGGCUCUGAUACUGAUUGGAUCUUGUACAGAGCAGUAAUAACAGUUUCGUGUUUUGUGGCGAGACGGUAGAACUUUGCUACCCCUUCGCACAUAUACCGUGUAACAUUCAGUGAAGUUUCCAGUAACUUUCAAUCCUUGUCAUGUCCAGAGUGACCUUAGUAAAUUCCAAGUUUGCACCAAAGCUCCAGGAGGAGUGCGUUCAAAUAAAACACGCGCCUAAUCGCCAAUUUUGAAAGGCGCUUUUUCAAAAUUGAAUAUAUCCACAUUGACGUCUUCAGCGUGGGACCAUAAUCAGUCAUAAACAGUUUGAUUUAGUGGAGUUAUAAGUUUUAGGACCUCAAACGUACGAUUCCUCUGAUAAAGUAAUACAAAUAAUAAUAAUUCAAACAGUUAUAACAAUAACUCUUUCAGUUACAGUUUUGAAGUGAAUGUUCCAUACAAAAUUCAGUCUGCUCAAAACUACAAUAUGACAACAUUCAAACUGUGUUUUAUAAACCGUGAAUUCACAAUUUUGGUGGCCCAACAUGAGGUUUUGAUCGUUUCACCUAAAGAAAACCCUUCAAAACCAUAUUCAUGGCUUUAAGGCAUGGAGGAAAAUCAGAUUUAUUAUUGACGUGGGAGCUUUUUGUUGCAGAUGGUGGCGAAGAGUUUCACAUAAAUCAGCAAUGAAGAAUGAAGAAAUGGCACAGAGAGACUUGUGAAAGAGUGUUUACAUGCUCUCUGCCGCGCGGCGGCCACUUCAUCCUGACACACUGAAUCAUUAAAGGCCACGACAUAACAGCGAUAACUGGGAAGACGUGUAAAAUAAUAAAUUCAUUAACAGAUUCUGAAGCAUAUUUGAAUGCAGCAUCGCGACUCGGCCGCGGGAAACGUGCUGCUCACUGCUAAUGAAGCACACGGAUUUGGAGAAGAUGGAAAGAAAGAAAAGAAAAGGGAUGGAAGUGUGGACAGAUCAAAGGAACGUGAGCGGCCCGGGUCAGCAGAGGAGUGGGCGGAGCCAACAGGGAUGGAUGCAGGCGAGGUCGGAGAGGAGGCGACGGACAGACAAGGCCCAUUAACUCAACGAGAGCAGCGGACCAGAGAAAAGGCAUGUUUUAAUUGCUGAUGUGUAAAAAUUUAAUUGCUGUCAAAUUGGUGCAAGGUGAUUGUGUCCAACCCUGGAUUUUACACUGUGGGACACCUGGAGAAAACAGCAGCACAAUGUCCUCAACUGUCGGAUAAAACACGAAAAAAUAACAAAGACGGAACCAAGAAUUAAUGAAAACAGUUCACAUGGGACUGUUUUAUUUAAGGGAUUUCCUAAUAAUUGCUGCCGUCGGCCGGAAUCUGCUGCGUCUUUCACUUUCACCAAAGUCAUUUAUUUAUAUGUUUAUUUCGGUCAUGUCAGUUAGAUAAUAUAGACAUAAUUACAUAAUAUAGACAUAAUUUCAUCAUGCUUUCAUAGAGACAUUAAGUGAUUUUAGCUCGUAGCUCGUCUAUUGCUGCCUCGU